rnacentral:rRNA from 1 species
UACGUAGGGUGCAAGCGUUGUUCGGAAUCAUUGGGCGUAAAGCGCGUGUAGGUGGUUAAUUAAGUCGAUUGUGAAAUCCCUGGGCUCAACCGAGGAAGUGCAGUCGAAACUAAUUAGCUAGAAGAUGGUAGAGGAAGGUGGAAUUCCAAGUGUAGAGGUGAAAUUCGUAGAUAUUCGCAAGAACACCAGUGGCGAAGGCGGCUCACUGGCCCGGUACUGACGCUGAGGUGCGAAAGCGUGGGGAGCAAACAGG